AGUAAAUGAAUAUUUUGCAUCAGGAGCCGGUGAGCAUUCUGGAUGCGGAUGGGGUUAAGGGCCUGCUUGGGAACUUGUCGGCCGCCUGGGUGGUGGAGUUCUACUGGUCGUGGGGCGGCCCCUGUGUCAACUAUGGGGCCACCUGGAAGGUACUGGGCCCGGGAGGUGAAAGAGUAUCUGAAAAUCUA